GUGCCAGCAGCCGCGGUAAUACAGAGGUCCCGAGCGUUGUUCGGAUUCACUGGGCGUAAAGGGUGCGUAGGCGGUCGGGUAAGUCUGAUGUGAAAUCUCCGGGCUCAACCCGGAAAUGGCAUUGGAUACUAUUCGGCUCGAGGUCUGGAGGGGGGACUGGAAUACUUGGUGUAGCAGUGAAAUGCGUAGAUAUCAAGUGGAACACCAGUGGCGAAGGCGAGUCCCUGGACAGAUCCUGACGCUGAGGCACGAAAGCUAGGGGAGCAAACAGGAUUAGAAACCCUGGUAGUCC
rnacentral:rRNA from 1 species